rnacentral:rRNA from 1 species
AUUGAACGCUGGCGGCAGGCCUAACACAUGCAAGUCGAGCGAGCGGCGGACGGGUGAGUAAUGUCUGGGAAACUGCCUGAUGGAGGGGGAUAACUACUGGACACGGUCGCUAAUCCCGCAUACCAUCAGAUGUGCCCCGAUGGGAUUAGCUGGUAGGUGGGGUAACGGCUCACCUAGGCGACGAUCCCUAGCGGGUCUGAGAGGAUGACCAGCCACACUGGAACUGAGACACGGGCCAGACUCCUACGGGAGGCAGCAGUGGGGAAUAUUGCACAAUGGGCGAAAGCCUGAUGCAGCCAGGCCGCGUGUGUGAAGAAGGCCUUCGGGUUGUAAAGCACUGUCAGCGGGGAGGCGUUACCCGCAGAAGAAGCACCGGCUAACUCCGUGCCAGCAGCCGCGGUAAUUC